rnacentral:rRNA from 1 species
CAUGCAAGUCGAACGAUGAUGCCCAGCUUGCUGGGCGGAUUAGUGGCGAACGGGUGAGUAAUACGUGAGUAACCUGCCCUUGACUCUGGGAUAAGCCUGGGAAACUGGGUCUAAUACUGGAUACUACCUCUUACCGCAUGGUGGGUGGUGGAAAGGGUUUUACUGGUUUUGGAUGGGCUCACGGCCUAUCAGCUUGUUGGUGGGGUAAUGGCUCACCAAGGCGACGACGGGUAGCCGGCCUGAGAGGGUGACCGGCCACACUGGGACUGAGACACGGCCCAGACUCCUACGGGAGGCAGCAGUGGGGAAUAUUGCACAAUGGGCGGAAGCCUGAUGCAGCGACGCCGCGUGAGGGAUGACGGCCUUCGGGUUGUAAACCUCUUUCAGUAGGGAAGAAGCGAGAGUGACGGUACCUGCAGAAGAAGCGCCGGCUAACUACGUGCCAGCAGCCGCGGUAAUACGUAGGGCGCAAGCGUUGUCCGGAAUUAUUGGGCGUAAAGAGCUCGUAGGCGGUUUGUCGCGUCUGCUGUGAAAGCCCGGGGCUCAACCCCGGGUCUGCAGUGGGUACGGGCAGACUAGAGUGCAGUAGGGGAGACUGGAAUUCCUGGUGUAGCGGUGAAAUGCGCAGAUAUCAGGAGGAACACCGAUGGCGAAGGCAGGUCUCUGGGCUGUUACUGACGCUGAGGAGCGAAAGCAUGGGGA